GAUCCUAAGCGUAGUAUCGCUUGACAACAUCGGAGUUCACGGGUGAGGGUAGCUCCUUGCCAUCCAUGUUGGUGAGCACUAGAGCCCCUCCGAAAAAAGCCCUUUUCACAACGAAAGGCCCUUCGUAGUUCGGGGCCCACUUCCCUCGAUUAUCUUUAACAGCGUGGGAUAUCUUUUUCAGCACAAGGUCCCCCUCGUUGAACUUGCACGGGCGCACCUUCUUGUCGAACACGUUCUUUAUCCUUUGUUGAUACAGGUGCCGAUGGCUUAUGGCCGUCAAACGCUUACCUUCAAUAAGGUUGAGUUGGUCGUAGCGUGUUUGAGCCUACUCUGAUUCUUCUAGGCCCGAUUCCGCUAGUAUCUUCUGGGAAGGGACCUCUACCUCAAAUGGGAGUACCGCUUCCAUCCCAUAAAACAAGGAGUACGACGUUGCCCCAGUAGAAGUUCGUACCGAGGUUCGAUAUCCAU
rnacentral:lncRNA from 1 species